rnacentral:rRNA from 1 species
UACAGAGGGGGCAAGCGUUGUUCGGAAUUACUGGGCGUAAAGGGCGCGUAGGCGGCCUUCUUAGUCGGACGUGAAAUCCCCAGGCUCAACUUGGGAACUGCGUCCGAUACUGGAUGGCUUGAGUGCGGGAGAGGGAUGUGGAAUUCCAGGUGUAGCGGUGAAAUGCGUAGAUAUCUGGAGGAAUACCGGUGGCGAAGGCGGCAUCCUGGACCGGCAUUGACGCUGAGGAGCGAAAGCCAGGGGAGCAAACGGG